rnacentral:rRNA from 1 species
GACGAACGCUGGCGGCGUGCUUAACACAUGCAAGUCGAACGGUGAAGGGAUCAGCUUGCUGGUUCUGGAUGAGUGGCGAACGGGUGAGUAACACGUGAGUAACCUGCCCCCUUCUUCUGGAUAACCGCAUGAAAGUGUGGCUAAUACGGGAUAUUCUGGGUCUGUCGCAUGAUGGGUCUGGGAAAGAUAUUGUUUCGGUGGGGGAUGGGCUCGCGGCCUAUCAGCUUGUUGGUGGGGUGAUGGCCUACCAAGGCGGUGACGGGUAGCCGGCCUGAGAGGGGGGACGGUCACACUGGGACUGAGACACGGCCCAGACUCCUACGGGAGGCAGCAGUGGGGAAUAUUGCACAAUGGGCGCAAGCCUGAUGCAGCGACGCCGCGUGAGGGAUGGAGGCCUUCGGGUUGUAAACCUCUUUCGCCAGUGAAGCAGGCCUGCUCCUUGUGGGUGGGUUGACGGUAGCUGGAUAAGAAGCGCCGGCUAACUACGUG